rnacentral:misc_RNA from 1 species
AAGUCGUAACAAGGUUUCCGUAGGUGAACCUGCGGAAGGAUCAUUAACACGUAUCCAAACGAUAAAACCCCCCUGUGAACCUUCAACACCAAUGCUCUCCAGACGCUUGAAUUUUGGCUAUCCCUAGUAAAUCAUUGCUUGGAAAGAUUUUUGAGUUAGGGACUUCCGUCAGCGCUCGCUGGAGGCCCUCACGGCCGGCGACCGGGGUCCAUUACCACGACCUACUACGUGGCCCAGUUUACCACCAUAACAUGACGCCCCGCGCGCGCCGAAAGGUUGUACGCACCCCUAAAACGAACAACUGUUAACAAUGGAUAUCUUGGUUCUC